rnacentral:rRNA from 1 species
GACGAACGCUGGCGGCGUGGAUUAGGCAUGCAAGUCGGACGGUAGGGCUUUAUCGUAAGAUAGAGUUUGAGAGUGGCGAACGGGUGAGUAACACGUAGGAAUCUACCCUUAAGACGGGGACAACCCAGGGAAACUUGGGCUAAUACCGGAUGAGAGUGCGAGAGAUUGCAUUUAAAAGGAUGGCGAAAGUUGUCGCUUAGGGAUGAGCCUGCGGUCUAUUAGUUAGUUGGUGAGGUAAGAGCUCACCAAGGCGAUGAUAGAUAGGCGGCCUUAACGGGUGGUCGCCCACACUGGGACUGAGACACGGCCCAGACUCCUACGGGAGGCAGCAGUUGGGAAUCUUCGGCAAUGGGCGCAAGCCUGACCGAGCAACGCCGCGUGAGUGAUGAAGGUUUUCGGAUUGUAAAGCUCUGUCUUCCGGGACGAUAAUGACGGUACCGGAGGAGGAAGCCACGGCUAACUACGUG